GACGAACGCUGGCGGCGUGCUUAACACAUGCAAGUCGAACGGAAAGGCCCUGCUUUUGUGGGGUGCUCGAGUGGCGAACGGGUGAGUAACACGUGAGUAACCUGCCCUUGACUUUGGGAUAACUUCAGGAAACUGGGGCUAAUACCGGAUAGGAGCUCCUGCUGCAUGGUGGGGGUUGGAAAGUUUCGGCGGUUGGGGAUGGACUCGCGGCUUAUCAGCUUGUUGGUGGGGUAGUGGCUUACCAAGGCUUUGACGGGUAGCCGGCCUGAGAGGGUGACCGGCCACAUGGGGACGGAGAUACGGCCCAGACUCCUACGGGAGGCAGCAGUGGGGAAUAUGGCACAAUGGGCGGAAGCCUGAUGCAGCAACGCCGCGGGCGGGAUGACGGCCUUCGGGUUGUAAACCGCUUUCGCCGGUGACGAAGCGUGAGUGACGGUAAUGGGUAAAGAAGCACCGGCUAACUACUU
rnacentral:rRNA from 1 species